rnacentral:rRNA from 1 species
GAUGAACGCUGGCGGCGUGCCUAAUACAUGCAAGUCGAGCGAACAGACGAGGAGCUUGCUCCUCGGACGUUAGCGGCGGACGGGUGAGAAACACGUGGAUAACCUACCUAUAAGACUGGUAAAACUACGGGAAACCGGAGCUAAUACCGUAGAAGAUAUUGAAGCGCAUGGUGCGAUAGUGAAAGACGGUGUUUCGGGCACGUAUAGAUGCAUCCGGGCCGCAUUGGGUAGUUGGUACGGUAACGGGUUACCAAGGGAACGAUGCGUAGCCGGAGUGAGAGGGUGAUCGCCGACAUGGGAACGGAGCCACGGACCAUACUCCUAAGGGAGGGAGCAGUCGGGAAUCUUACGCAAUGGGCGAAAGCUUGACGGAGUAACGCGGAGUGAGUGAUGACGGUCUUCGGUUCGUAAAACUCUGUUAUUAGGGAAGAUCAAAUGUGUAAGUAACUAUGCACGUCUUGACGGUACCUAAUAAGAAAGCAACGGCUAACUACGUG